rnacentral:rRNA from 1 species
GGUGGCACAGACCAGGGGGUGGCGACUGUUUACUAAAAACAUAGGGCUCUGCGAAGUAGCAAUACGACGUAUAGGGUCUGACGCCUGCCCGGUGCCUGAAGGUUAAAAGGAGAGGUGAGAGCUUGAAUUGAAGCCCAGGUAAACGGCGGCCGUAACUAUAACGGUCCUAAGGUAGCGAAAUUCCUUGUCGGGUAAGUUCCGACCUGCACGAAUGGCGUAACGACUUCCCCACUGUCUCCAGCAUAGACUCAGCGAAAUUGAACUCCCCGUGAAGAUGCGGGGUUCCUGCGGUUAGACGGAAAGACCCCGUGCACCUUUACUAUAGCUUCACACUGGCAUUCGUGUCGGCAUGUGCAGAAUAGGUGGUAGCUUUGAACUAUAGACGCCAGUUUAUAGGGAGCCAAAAUGUGAGAUACCACCCUUAUCGUCAUGUAUGUCUAACCGCGGCGUAACAGCGUCCGGGACAGUGUGUGGUGGGUAGUUUGACUGGGGCGGUCGCCUCCCAAAGAGUAACGGAGGCGCGCGAUGGUGGCUCAGACCGGUCGGAAAUCGGUCGUCGAGUGCAAUGGCAUAAGCCGCCUGACUGCGAGACUGACAAGUCGAGCAGAGACGAAAGUCGGUCAUAGUGAUCCGGUGGUCCCGCGUGGAAGGGCCAUCGCUCAACGGAUAAAAGGUACGCCGGGGAUAACAGGCUGAUGAUGCCCAAGAGUCCAUAUCGACGGCAUUGUUUGGCACCUCGAUGUCGGCUCAUCGCAUCCUGGGGCUGGAGCAGGUCCCAAGGGUUUGGCUGUUCGCCAAUUAAAGCGGUACGCGAGCUGGGUUUAGAACGUCGUGAGACAGUUCGGUCCCUAUCUGCCGUGGGUGUAGGAAUGUUGAGAAGAGUUGCCCCUAGUACGAGAGGACCGGGGUGAACAGAUCUCUGGUGGACCUGUUG